GACGUAGGAGGCGAGCGUUGUCCGGAUUCAUUGGGCGUAAAGAGCACGCAGGCGGUUUGGCAAGUCGGAUGUGAAAACCCGGAGCUCAACUCCGGACCUGCAUCCGAAACUGCCCGACUAGAGGUAGGUAGGGGAGAUCGGAAUUCCUGGUGUAGCGGUGAAAAGCGCAGAUAUCAGGAGGAACACCGGUGGCGAAGGCGGAUCUCUGGGCCUUACCUGACGCUCAGGUGCGAAAGCUAGGGGAGCGAACAGG
rnacentral:rRNA from 1 species